UACGAAGGGGGCGAGCGUUGUUCGGAUUUACUGGGCGUAAAGGGCGCGUAGGCGGCCCUCCUUGUCGCGUGUGAAAGCCCCGGGCUCAACCUGGGAACGGCGCGCGAGACGGGGGGGCUGGAGUUCGGGAGAGGAGCGUGGAAUUCCCGGUGUAGAGGUGAAAUUCGUAGAUAUCGGGAGGAACACCGGUGGCGAAGGCGGCGACCUGGGUAGAUACUGACGCUGAGGCGCGAAAGCGUGGGGAGCAAACAGG
rnacentral:rRNA from 1 species